AAGCGUCUUUUGCGUGGUUUGGUCAGCCUAAGUCCUAUUGAAUGAGGCAUCAUGGAGGGUGAUAAUCCCGUCCGGCUGAUCAUCGCGUUUUACGAUACGCUUUCAAAGAGUCAAGUUGUUUGGGAUUGCAGCUUAAAAUGGGAGGUAAAUUUCUCCUAAGGCUAAUAUUGGCGAGAGACCGAUAGCGAACAAGUACCGUGAGGGAAAGAUGAAAAGUACUUUGAAAAGAGAGUUAAAUAGCACGUGAAAUUGUUGAAAGGGAAACGAUUGAAGCCAGUCGUACCUGCGGACAAUCAGCCUUUCGGGUGUAUUAUGUGGAGUGUGGGGAGCUAAACACCUUCAUGCCUUGCAUAUUCGUACUCUGGGGUGUACUUGGACGUGCGGUAGGUUAACAUCAAUUUCGGACGUCAUAAAAUGGCUGGAGGAAUGUAGCUUCGGUCUCGUACUGAAGUGUUAUAGCCUUUGGUAGAUGUGAUGACCGGGAUUGAGGAUUGCAACGGAUACCCUUCGGGCUACCCGCCUGAUCUCUGAAAGUUGCUCUGGUGCCGAAAGCUUG
rnacentral:rRNA from 1 species